rnacentral:rRNA from 1 species
UACGUAGGGGGCCAGCGUUGUCCGGAAUUACUGGGCGUAAAGCGCGCGCAGGCGGUCUAGUAAGCAGCGGGUGAAAUUCCGGGGCUCAACCCCGGCGCUGCUCGCUGAACUGCUAGACUAGAGUACGGGAGAGGGCAGUGGAAUUGCCGGUGUAGCGGUGGAAUGCGUAAAUAUCGGCAAGAACACCAGUGGCGAAGGCUGCUGCCUGGAACGUUACUGACGCUGAGGCGCGAAAGCUAGGGGAGCAAACGGG